rnacentral:lncRNA from 1 species
AAAAAAAAGUGAUCCCCCUUUUCUUGUUUGUCUUAUAUCCAUAUUUAUGGAGAUAGAAUUCAUGUCAUAAUUUAAAAAAUGAACAUGUAUAAUUCUUUUUCGUAAUAAAAAAUGAUGAGGGAGUUAUUGAUAAUUUGAAAAGAGUAUUUUAUGGAAGAAUUAAGUUAUUACUCAACAAAUUUGAAUUUGAAUUUUUUAAAGGAUGAGAUCAAUUCAGAAGUACUUUUUGUAUUUUUUAUUUAUUUAAAGAAAUGUUAAAAUGUAUUUUAUUUUUUCUUUAUUAAAUGUAUUUAUUUUAAAAAAAAAAAUUUUA